CCAUGCACGCGAUAAUCAAGACCAGCAAGCAGCAACGUCUUGAUCAAGAAGAAGAAAAGAACGGAGAAGCAAAGAACGACGAUGUAAAUAGCGGGAACAGUUUUCCACACUGGUACGCUGUAUGACGUCGAGCAUUGCCAAAAUGGAAGUGCUCUUUGAAGAACUGAGCGUCUAAAUCAGUAAAUCUUCUUCAGUCAGAUGAAGCUAACGGAUUCGGAAAUCGUCGAAGAAGCAGAGGACAUCACAGCUGAAAAAAAAACGCGAGUCAAACUCCUGUGGUUAAGUUCUGCAGCUACUCUCAAAAUAUUUUGUCUUGUUUGCUCGUGUUGAUUGUAGACUGCUUUUAAAUUAUCUAUCAGUGAAGCCCUAAUAAGAGGU